AUUGAACGCUGGCGGCAGGCCUAACACAUGCAAGUCGAGCGGAGCGGCGGACGGGCGAGUAAUGCCUAGGAAUCUGCCUGGUAGUGGUGGAUAACGUCCGGAAACGGGCGCUAAUACCGCAUACUAUCAGAUGAGCCUAGGUCGGAUUGGCUAGCUGGUGGUGUGAGGGCCUACCAAGGCGACGAUCCGUAACUGGUAUGAGAGGAUGAUCAGUCACACGGGAACUGAGACACGGGCCAGACUCCAACGUGAGGCAUCAGGGGGGAAUAGUGGACAAUGGGCGAAGGCCGGAAGCAGGCAUGCCGCGUGUGUGAUGAAGGUCGUCGGAUUGUAAAGCACUUAAAGUUGGGAGGCGUUACCAGCAGAAUAAGCACCGGCUAACUACGUGCCAGCAGCCGCGGUAAUAC
rnacentral:rRNA from 1 species